rnacentral:misc_RNA from 1 species
GAUGAAGAACGCAGCGAAAUGCGAUACGUAAUGUGAAUUGCAGAAUUCAGUGAAUCAUCGAAUCUUUGAACGCAUAUUGCGCUCUCUGGUAUUCCGGAGAGCAUGCUUGUUUGAGUAUCAGUAAACACCUCAACUCCCUUUUCUUUUUUGAAAUGGGAGCUGGACUUGAGUGAUCCCAACACUUUUCUCACUGGAAAGUGGCGGGUCACUUGAAAUGCAGGUGCAGCUGGACUUUUCUCUGAGCUAUAAGCAUAUCUAUUUAGUCUGCCUAAAAAACAGAUUAUUACCUUUGCUGCAGCUAACAUAAAGGAGAUGAGUUCUUGUGCUGACUGAUGCAGGAUUCACAGAGACAGCUUUGCGGCUGACUUUGUAAACUCGAUCUCAAAUCAAGUAAGACUACCCGCUGAACUUAAGCAUACCAAUAAGCGGAGGA